rnacentral:tRNA from 1 species
AUUUAAAUAGUUUAAUUGAAAAUAUUGAAUUGUGGUUUCAAUGAUAUAUAGCUAUAAAAUAUUUUAAAUU